rnacentral:rRNA from 1 species
CCUACGGGUGGCUGCAGUCGAGAAUCAUUCACAAUGGGGGAAACCCUGAUGGUGCGACGCCGCGUGGGGGAAUGAGGGUCUUCGGAUUGUAAACCCCUUUCAUAUGGGAGCAAAUUAGAAGGAUAGUACCGCAAGAGGAAGAGACGGCUAACUCUGUGCCAGCAGCCGCGGUAAUACAUAGGUCUCAAGCGUUGUUCGGACUUACUGGGCGUAAAGCGUGCGUAGGCUGUUUGGUAAGUCGUGUGUGAAAGCCUCGGGCUUAACCCUCGAACGGCACAUGAUACUGCGAGACUAGAGUACUGGAGGGGGAAACGGAAUUCUUGGUGUAGCAGUGAAAUGCGUAGAUAUCGGGAGGAACACUAGUGGCGAAGGCGGGUUCCUGGACAUUAACUGACGCUGAGGCACGAAGGCCAGGGGAGCGAACGGGAUUAGAUACCCUAGUAGUC